UACGGAGGGGGCUAGCGUUGUUCGGAAUCAUUGGGCGUAAAGCGCGUGCAGGCGGUUAGUUAAGUCAGAUGUGAAAUCCCUGGGCUCAACCGAGGAAGUGCAUUUGAAACUAAUUAGCUAGAAGAUGGCAGAGGAAGGUGGAAUUCCAAGUGUAGAGGUGAAAUUCGUAGAUAUUUGGAGGAAUACCGGUGGCGAAGGCGGCCUUCUGGACCAUUCUUGACGCUGAGACGCGAAAGCGUGGGGAGCAAACAGG
rnacentral:rRNA from 1 species